GGUUCGAUUAUGGCUCAGAUUGAACGCUGGCGGGAUGCUUUACAUAUGCAAGUCCGAACGGCAGCACGGACUUCGGUCUGGUGGCGAGUGGCGAACGGGUGAGAGUAAUGUAUCGGAACGUGCCUAAUGUGGGGGAUAACUACGCGAAAGCGUAGUAAUACCACAUACGCCCUUCGGGGAAAGCAGGGGACCUUCGGGCCUCGCACUAUUAGAAGCAGCCGAUAUCGGAUUAGCUAGUUGGUGGGAGUAACGGCUCACCAAGGCGACGAUCCGUAAGCGGCUGGUUUGAGAGGACGACCAGCCACUGGGACUGAGACACGGCCCAGACUCCUACGGGGAGAGCAGCAGUGGGAAUUUUGGACAAUGGAAACCUGAUCCAGCCAUCCCGCGUGUGCGAUGAAGGCCUUCGGGUUGUAAAAGCACUUUUGGCAGGAAAAGAAACGGCACGGGAUAAUACCCCAUUACACGGCGGUACCUGCAGAAUAAGCACCGGCUAACUACGUGCCAGCAGCCGCGGUAAUACAUGGGUGCAAGCGUUAAUCAGAUUACUGGGCGCCAGCGUGCCGAGCCCCGGUUCCCGGAAAGAAGAUGUAAAUCCCGAGCUUAACACGGGCGGUACCAGCUGCCGAGCUAGAGUGUGUCAGAGGGAGGUGGAGUCUCGCGUCAGCAGCAGUGAAAUGCGUAGAUAUGCGGAGGAACACCGAUAACGGCGAAAGGCAGCCUCCUGGGAUAACUGACGCUCAUGCACGAAGAAAGCGUGGGGGAGCCAAGCGGAUUAAAUACCUGGUAGUCCACGCCUAAACGAUGUCAGCAAGCUGUUGGAGACAACACCGGGCUAAGCAGUAGCGCAACUAGCGCGUGAAGGUCGACCGCCUGAAGUACGGUCAUAAGAUUAAAACUCAAAAGGAAUUGACGGGUUCCACACAGCGGUGGAUGAUGUGGAUUAAUUCGAUGCAGCACUUGAAACCUUACCACCCUUGACAUGUCUGGAAUCGAAGAGAUUUGGGAGUGCUCGCAGAGAACCGGAACACAGGUGCUGCAUGGCUGUCGUCAGCUCAUGUCGUGAGAUCGUGGGUUAAGUCCGCAACGAGCGCAACCCUUGUGCAUUGAUUGCUACGAAAGGGCACUCCUAAUGAGACUGCCGGUAUUCAAACCGGAGGAAGGUGGGGAUAGUAAGUCCUCAUGGCCCUUAUGGGUAGGGCUUCACACGUCAUACAAUGGUCGGGACAGAGGGUCGCCAGCCCGCGAGGGGAGCCAAUCCCAGGGAAACCCGAUCGUAGUCGGAUCGCAGUCUGCAACUCGACUGCGUGAAGUCCGGAGAUCGCUAGUAAUCGCGGAUCAGCAUGUCGCGGUGAAUGCGUUCCCGGGUCUUGUACACCGCCCGUCACACCAUGGGUGGUUUGCAGAAGUAGUUGACCUAACCAUCAGGAGGGCGAUUACCACAGUAGGAUUCAUGACUGGGGGUGAAGUCGUAAUAGAGUAG
rnacentral:rRNA from 1 species